CCCGAUUAGCUCGUGUCGAGCAUCCACGACACAUCGAGAAGGAUAAGAUCCCCCUCGUCGCUGUAGACAGACCCUAGCCCGCAAAAUUCCCCUCUCCCACUCACGUUUCUCCUGAGAGCCUCGUGCCCGAGCUACCAUCGAUGCGCCGUCGCCGUCCCCGUGGCCACUGGCCUCCCCGGCGGCCGGGAGCUUGUCCAGGGACUUCCUAGUCACCGACUCCGUCAUCUCCGUGCAUCCGUUCGACCGGAGCCGCACUAUACGCUCGGGAUCGAGCUGAUUUUCUGCCACGGCCGUCGUCUCUCGUCGUCGAGCUCGUCGCAUCCGGUCGCCCCCGCGCCUCCAAUCCACGUCUACGAGCUUGGUGAUGACGGAUCCCAGGAGCCAGACGACACCACUGAUGACUACUGCUACCCCGAGGGUGCCUACUACUACGUGAUGACCGCUGACGACUUGGAGUAGUUAGGAGGCUCCCAGGCAGGAGGCCUUACCUUUUUGACCGAUGUUGCUUUGUGCUAGCCUUUUUAAGGAAAACUUGUUUAACUCAUGUCUGUACUCAGAUAAUGUUGCUUCCGCUGACUCUUGUGUAUUCGAGCUUAUGUAUUCGAGCCCUCGAGGCCCCUGACUUGUAAUAUAAAGCUUGUAUUAUUUUAAUUUGUGUCUA